rnacentral:rRNA from 1 species
GAUACCCCAGGACAGGCGGGACCACCCGCUGAGUUUAAGCAUA